rfam:Roseofilum reptotaenium AO1-A Rreptotaenium_AO1_contig_83_len_37683_cov_438.817, whole genome shotgun sequence.
CCUGGUGCUGUGAGCGCUGUGGCACCACUCCGAUUCCAUCCCGAACUCGGCAGUGAAACACAGCAGCGGCGACGAUACUUUGGGGGUCACCCUUGGGCAAAAUAGCUCGGUGCCAGGU